UUGGCCUCAACAGAACUGAAAAAUAAUCGCUCCGAGGCCAGCAACAAUUUAAGCGGUGAAGGUAAGUAAAAGAAUUUUUUUGUUUAGCGAAAAUUGCAUUGUUUUUUGUCUCCGUACAGCUUUAUCCGAUCGGACUAACACUGGAGCAGUUCCAGCGCUAAACAAGGUGAACGAUGGCCCGGGACAACUAGCACCACUUCGGCAACAGCAGCAGUAGUACGCAUUACUCUGGCGAUAAAAACAUUCACUUGUUUGGUCGCUCACCCAUGAUUGCGACCACAUACACCAUCCGCUACCGAUUGUACAGCAAUCACCACCAUCAGUGGCAAAAGCAGCACCACCAAAUCCAACAUCAGUCGGAAACGUUACCUCGUAUCACUACCCGCUUUCCGGUGGAAGAGCUCAUCAGCAAUGUAUGUUCUCCGGGAAAAAAGUGCCGCAGUAAAAACGGAUCUCAGCGCACCGGUCGACAACAGCGCAAUCGAUGAAGUUCUACAAAAUCGAAGUGGAUGCAAGAAAAAAACUCCACCAUCGAACUGGACAAACGCCUGAGCAGUUCCAGCACCAAAUGACGUGAAAACUGGGCUGGAACAACCAGCAUUCACAUCAUCCCCAGCAGCAGUAGUAUAACUUUGGAAAAAUCAUCAUCACAGCACCAUUCCCAUCAUCGACAGAAGAAACGAGUUAGUUUAGGUACAGCAGCGGCCAGUUUAGUACCGUUUAGCUAGUAGGUGGCUGUUUUUUUUCUCCCACGGUGGAAGCGCACCAGGCGCGGAUGUGACUCAGCGGUGGUCACAAUGGGACUGAGUAGAUAUGAUGGUGGCUCCCGUGGCUAAUGAACGGAAUCCAACGAGCACUGUAUAGAGAAUUCCUACGCUCGAUUUCCCUGCUGUAAGUAUCCAGUUUUAUUUCACCUUCUCCCCAAUCCCCUCACAUUUUUUUUGUAUUUUAAACAGUGCCGGACCUCUUAAGGCAAAAUUGAGCAACUGAAGGCAGCUGCUAAUUUGUUGAUUCGUGGUGAUCCGGAAGGGAAAUUUUCCAGAACAGAUAUUAUAUUAUAGGCAGCAGAAUGGCUCGGAAUAUUUCUUCCCGAGUCAGAAGCGUAGUGUGAGCCGGCGUAGAAAAAGCAACCACCACGACAUCACCAAUAGUAACAGCAGUGUGUGGAGGAAAAUCAUUUCAAUCGUCCAGUUCCUCUGCCACGAUUGCGACAAAAUCCGUCACUGAUUGUAUCACCAUCACCACCAGCAGAGGCAACAGCAGACAAUCGCUGGAAGCGUUUCUGGCAUCACAGCCCGCUUUCCGGUGGAUGAGACCAUCACCACCUUACAGUUUUGGACCCGGAUGCGAAAAACAAAAAAUGGUUCCAUGAAAUCGGCAAGGUAUGUUCUCUGUUUUUUUUUAAAUAUAUUUUUUUUUAAAUUUGUGGUUGUCUUAAAGGCUAGUCCACACUAGGAGACGAUUUGUCUCGAGACGGUCUCAGCGUCUGCCAUUUUAUUCGGUAUCGCCACAGCAUGAGCAAAAACUAUACAAAGUCUGCAGGAAAUUGGAAUGUAACCGAACAAUGAAUAUAAACGAAGUCGAAUGGGUCUGAUCCAAUAAGUUUGCUUCAUCCGGACGAUUACGUGCAUUGCAAUCCUCAAACUAUCAUGUAGCAGAUGUAGCUGCAUAUUCCGGUACCGUUUCGGAAAUUUUACAGAUGUCGGUCAACAUCGCCUGAUGGCGCACCACCGCACCGCACCAACAUCACCUGAUGGCGCACCACUCAACGGAGAAAAAAAAUGUAGCUAUGUUGAAUGCUUUUAGGAUGUGUUCCGAUAAACUCGAACAUGGUAAACAGGCAGAAUUUCCAUUCUGCGAAUGGAAGGUCUGCAGAUGUCGACACAGGGAGUAAUUCCAGAAGCCAAACGGCAGCUAUCGGAUUUGAUGGCGCAGAUUAGCUUUCCAAAAGAAUUUAUGAUCGAACAUUUCUUAAACAGGCUGGCGAUUGUACCC